rnacentral:lncRNA from 1 species
CUGAACCCGGUCCUAGCACCAUCAACAACGUCUGUGGAGCAGUGAAAUGUGUUGUAGUCGUUGUCUCUGGUCGACCAGUUGUGGUGCAGCCUCACCUUGCCAAAAUGGAUGCUCUUGUCGCUGCUUGGCUUCCCGGAACUGAAGGACAAGGCGUUACUGACGCUUUAUUUGGUGAUUAUGGCUUCACUGGUAAACUCGCCCGGACAUGGUUCAAGUCAGUUGAUCAACUUCCUAUGAACUUUGAUGACUCACACAAUAAGGAUCCAUUGUUUCAUUUUGGAUUUGG